rnacentral:rRNA from 1 species
GACGGAGGAGGCUAGCGUUGUCCGGAUUGACUGGGCGUAAAGAGCAUGUAGGUGGGAUCUUAAGUCGGUGGUGAAAGCCUUCCGCUUAACGGAAGAAUUGCCAUCGAAACUGGGAUUCUUGAGGGCAGGAGAGGAGAGUGGAAUUGCUGGUGUAGCGGUGAAAUGCGUAGAGAUCAGCAAGAACACCCGUGGCGAAGGCGACUCUCUGGACUGCUCCUGACACUGAGAUGCGAAAGCCAGGGGAGCGAACGGG